CGUAGGUGGCAAGCGUUGUCCGGAAUUACUGGGCGUAAAGGGUGCGUAGGCGGUUUUUUAAGUCAGAUGUGAAAUUCCGGGGCUCAACCUCGGAAUUGCAUUUGAAACUGGAGAGCUAGAGUGCAGGAGAGGAAAGCGGAAUUCCUAGUGUAGCGGUGAAAUGCGUAGAUAUUAGGAAGAACACCAGUGGCGAAGGCGGCUUUCUGGACUGUAACUGACGCUGAGGCACGAAAGCGUGGGGAGCAAACAGGAUUAGAUACCCUGGUAGUCCACGCUGUAAACUAUGAGUGCUAGGUGUAGGGGGUAUCGACUCCCUCUGUGCCGCAGUAAACGCAAUAAGCACUCCGCCUGGGGAGUACGGUCGCAAGACUA
rnacentral:rRNA from 1 species